rnacentral:rRNA from 1 species
GACGAACGCUGGCGGCGUGCUUAACACAUGCAAGUCGAACGGAAAGGCCCUGCUUUUGUGGGGUGCUCGAGUGGCGAACGGGUGAGUAACACGUGAGUAACCUGCCCUUGACUUUGGGAUAACUUCAGGAAACUGGGGCUAAUACCGGAUAGGAGCUCCUGCUGCAUGGUGGGGGUUGGAAAUUUUCGGCGGUUGGGGAUGGACUCGCGGCUUAUCAGCUUGUUGGUGGGGUAGUGGCUUACCAAGGCUUUGACGGGUAGCCGGCCUGAGAGGGUGACCGGCCACAUUGGGACUGAGAUACGGACCAGACUCCUACGGGAGGCAGCAGUGGGGAAUAUUGAACAAUGGGCGGAAGCCUGAUGCAGCAACGCCGCGUGCGGGAUGACGGCCUUCGGGUUGUAAACCGCUUUCGCCUGUGACGAAGCGUGAGUGACGGUAAUGGGUAAAGAAGCACCGGCUAACUACGUG